rnacentral:rRNA from 1 species
AGCGAACGCUGGCGGCAGGCCUAACACAUGCAAGUCGAACGAACUCUUCGGAGUUAGUGGCGGACGGGUGAGUAACACGUGGGAACGUGCCUUUAGGUUCGGAAUAACUCAGGGAAACUUGUGCUAAUACCGAAUGUGCCCUUCGGGGGAAAGAUUUAUCGCCUUUAGAGCGGCCCGCGUCUGAUUAGCUAGUUGGUGAGGUAAAGGCUCACCAAGGCGACGAUCAGUAGCUGGUCUGAGAGGAUGAUCAGCCACAUUGGGACUGAGACACGGCCCAAACUCCUACGGGUGGCAGCAGUGGGGAAUCUUGCGCAAUGGGCGAAAGCCUGACGCAGCCAUGCCGCGUGAAUGAUGAAGGUCUUAGGAUUGUAAAAUUCUUUCACCGGGGACGAUAAUGACGGUACCCGGAGAAGAAGCCCCGGCUAACUUCGUG